GACGAACGCUGGCGGCGUGCUUAACACAUGCAAGUCGAACGGUAAGGCCCUUCGGGGUACACGAGUGGCGAACGGGUGAGUAACACGUGGGUGAUCUGCCCUGCACUUCGGGAUAAGCCUGGGAAACUGGGUCUAAUACCGGAUAGGACCACUGCCUGCAUGGGUGGUGGUGGAAAGCUUUUGCGGUGUGGGAGGGGCCCGCGGCCUAUCAGCUUGUUGGUGGGGUGAUGGCCUACCAAGGCGACGACGGGUAGCCGGCCUGAGAGGGUGACCGGUCACACUGGGACUGAGAUACGGCCCAGACUCCUACGGGAGGCAGCAGUGGGGAAUAUUGCACAAUGGGCGCAAGCCUGAUGCAGCGACGCCGCGUGAGGGAUGACGGCCUUCGGGUUGUAAACCUCUUUCAGCUAUGACGAAGCGUAAGUGACGGUAGUAGCAGAAGAAGGACCGGCCAACUACGUGCCAGCCGCCGCGGUAA
rnacentral:rRNA from 1 species